GUGCUUGCUUCGAAAGCACAUAUACUAAAAUUGGAAUGGUACAGACAGAAAAGACUAGCAUGGCCCCUGUACAAGGAUGAUAUGCAAAUUUGUGAAGCGUUCCCUAUUUUU